UCCCAUUAAAGUGAAACAAAGCUCGCAAUCGGUCUCUUGAAUUUGCACCAAACUCACGAUCAUCAAUGAUUAUUGACAGGCUGGGAGACAAGGCCUACAGAUGAACUUGUUUUUAUUGACAGUAGAUGCGCUAUCAAAUUUAGACAGGAUGACUUAACUGCGGACCUACUGACCUUGGAGCUAUGGGAGAACGCUACAACCCAUCUUGGGACCCUAGAUUUUGAUGCAAGUGGCCAAAAAAUUGUGAUAAGAUCAAUGACAUUUUGCAAGAAUGAGGCAAGCUCCUGCACAAAAGAAUUUCUCUAUGAUAUGGAGACUGAUAAGAAAGGCUUGAAUUGCCAAAUAACCUUUGCUGGAUCGACUUGGUCGCAAAAAGAAACAACUCUUCUUUGCGAAUCUACCAGUAGCGAAGAGAAAUUGAAUUUGACGGAUGAUGAAGGCGUGCUUACUGUGAUUGAUCGAGUUAAAUACAUCAAACUUAACAGAAUUGGGAGCUACAACCUCCACUGUCCAGAUAAAGAACAAUAUAACAGAGAUGACCUAUGUGGAUCGGGUGAAAGUAAAUACGAGGGUCAGUUAAAUGUCAGUGAGGACUUUAACUGGGACACAAAAGGACGGACUUCAUUUGCAAUUGACUGGGAUCUUUAUUGUGAUAGGGAGUACCUCGGAUCUAUCAUUAAGUCUGUUUACUUCGGUGGAGCUUGGGUUGGGCUAUCAGCAGGCGGGUGGUUGUAUGAUGUGAUAGGAAGGAAAAAAGGCGCUUUUGUCGGCUACGCUGUAGUAACAAU